rnacentral:rRNA from 1 species
AGAACGAACGCUGGCGGCAUGCCUAAUACAUGCAAGUCGAACGAAGGCUUCGGCCUUAGUGGCGCACGGGUGCGUAACGCGUGGGAAUCUGCCCCUUGGUUCGGAAUAACAGUUGGAAACGACUGCUAAUACCGGAUGAUGACGAAAGUCCAAAGAUUUGUCGCCAAGGGAUGAGCCCGCGUAGGAUUAGCUAGUUGGUGAGGUAAAGGCUCACCAAGGCGACGAUCCUUAGCUGGUCUGAGAGGAUGAUCAGCCACACUGGGACUGAGACACGGCCCAGACUCCUACGGGAGCAGCAGUAGGGAAUAUUGGACAAUGGGCGAAAG